UUGCGCCGCUGUACGUUGUGCUCAAGCCCUGUUUUUCUUCUAUUCCCCUUUCCAAGUCUUCCUCUCAUCUUAUCCAUUGGAGGCCGCAGCCGUCAGGUCGCUGCUGCUGCUGGUGGCGUGAUUGCCAUCGCUGUGAGAUUGCUGCUGUUCUUGGCGCCGCUUCUCGUCGUGGUCGCUGCCGUGUGGAGGCUGCUCCCGCUCCCCUGCUCCUUGCGUCGUCGUGGCCGCCGCUGCUGCCGGUGGAGCACGGGCUGCUGCUGGCCAUCGGCCCACCCCCGGUCUAUUGCUUCUCCAACUCCUUGUGUCACUCUUGGUUCGAUCUUUAGCACUGGAGAAACAUAGUUCCUGUAGGUGGGUUAGCAUCUUGGCUGGAUUGUUUGAUGUGGCCUGUUUUGCCUGUUCAGGUAUGCCAACAGCUUGACGAACAUGUCUAUAUGCGCGUAAGCAAUUAAACCUGGGGAGAGGAGUUAGUUUGCAAGUUAUAAUUCUGUUUUAUCUUACACGUGAGGAUUAAAAAUGCUCUUGUACACUGGUUUUCCCUUGCUGUACAUCACUGAACUUGGUUCAGUUAAAAACUGCAGUGCCUGACAGUUCUGGACAGCAAGCUUCUAUCUAAAAAAUGAGUUAGCUAUGCUUAGAAUUUAUAGUUGGCCCCUUUACAUAAGUUCUAGAUAAAGUUCCAAGGUUUCCGUAGAGUACUUAUUUGCUUCAUUUGGAUCUAUGGUUUGAGAGCAGCCAUCAUUUUAGUUUUCUGUCCUGAAAUUUAUGUUCCUGGGGUGCAGAAUUUGUUGUAUGGCAGUUUAGGCCAUGCUAGAGGUUUAAUUAAAUUAAAGUCACAACACAAAAAUUGUAGAGGAUAUUCUGCAGAUGCUUAAACAUAUAGUAUUUGUUAGAUUUCGUGUUAUACACUAAAUCCUAUGAAAUUAUUAAGAUGACUGUACUAUGUUGGACAGAAUUUUACGUUUGACUUGGUGAUUGUAACUAGACUUAUACUAAGAUUUUGUCAUCGUUGAUGAUAUGAGGACUUAUAAUGUGAUAACGUACGUAUGAGCUGGGGUCUUGUGCGUAGGAGCGCCACUAAAUUAUAUAUUCUUAUGUGUUGAGACCAUGCUUUGCUGUGACUGGGAUAUAUGCUUGAUGACAAGUGUGGGUACUUCGAGUUCGGAACCGUUUGCCUCACAAUUUGUGCCCUGCGGUUGAGGCAAGUUCACGACGGGAUAAUGACUUGCAUAAUCUCUCAUUCCAUUUUUUAUUUAUGAUAUCUUCCAUGUCAAUGAUGUUUAUUAUGAUGGCGAUGACGAUGACCAUGAUAUGUUGAUUCAAGUACUAUGGUUGCAUUUGCAUACUUGCACUCAUGAUGAUGGUGAAUGAAGGCGUGCACUACCUUGGUGGGCACAUUGAGACCUUCAUUGUUGGGUUGCGACCUACUUUGGAGGCAACCUCCACAUAUUGGAGUGAGUGGAUGUCGACGGGCGUCCACUCAAGCUAUCCAGGUAUACGCAAUGAAAUGAGAUGAGCAUGUAGGCAUGUAGGGCACCAUUAUAUGUGUUGGAACACUAAUGAGUGUAUGGUGUUAACCGAGUCUUGGUAUAUUGAUAUGAGUACUGUUUAUUAUUCCUUUAUGAACUUGCUGAGUCUUUGUACUCGUCCUUGUUGCUUAUAUGUUUUAGGUAAAUCCUGAGAACGACAUGCAUGGGAGUCUUCGGAGUACCAUCCUCCUCGCCGCACGGGCCUCCUCCUUGCCGGAGUGACGCCCCUCGCCGGAGCAGCGCCGGCCAAGCCCAUUGGCCACCAGGUGUUGUUCCUACUCCUCUACCUACUACAGCAGCACAAUGUUCUUCUAUAUUGCAAUAGAGUAGGAGUAUUUGCUAGAGUAGCUAGGACGUACAGCUAUUGUUAAUUGCCGCCAUGUGUAUUGUUUUGUUAGAGCAGAUGGCUCCCAUGAUCCCAUCAAUUUUGCAUCGCUGGAUGCUUUAUGUACACAUGCACGGAUCUGUCAUAACUUUACACUAAUUUAAGAUUGUGUUGAUCUGAAGUGCUGGCUCCUACAGCAUUGCAUUUCACUUGAAAUGCUACAUUUCUACUCCUAACCCAUUCUCCCUUUCUUAGUGUUUUUGUUAUGCAGGUUGGAAGAAAAGAAGAAGAUCCAGAGAAGAUCUUAGUAAUAAGAUAGUUUUGACUUUGUGAAACUUGCUACCUAUGGAUGAAACUGUGUAAUAUUGAUGAAACUAUGUAUAUGUAUGGAUGAAACUUGCUACUAUUGGUAACAUGUGUUGGAUAUAUAUGUGUUCAUGACUAUUGGUAAUAUGUGUUGGAUAUGCUAUAUUGGUCUUAUAUAUAUAAGAAAAAACAGAAUUAAAU
rnacentral:lncRNA from 1 species